rnacentral:rRNA from 1 species
UACGAAGGGGGGCUAGCGUUGCUCGGAAUCACUGGGCGUAAAGGGUGCGUAGGCGGGUCUUUUAAGUCAGGGGUGAAAUCCUGGAGCUCAACUCCAGAACUGCCUUUGAUACUGAGGAUCUUGAGUUCGGGGAGAGGUGAGUGGAACUGCGAGUGUAGAGGUGAAAUUCGUAGAUAUUCGCAAGAACACCAGUGGCGAAGGCGGCUCACUGGCCCGAUACUGACGCUGAGGCACGAAAGCGUGGGGAGCGAACAGG